rnacentral:rRNA from 1 species
ACGGGUGCGGAACACGUACGCAACCUUCCUUCAAGCGGGGAAUAGCCCAGAGAAAUUUGGAUUAAUACCCCAUAGGAAUGUAGUCUCGCAUGAGACAGCAUUUAAAGAUUUAUCACUUGAAGAUGGGCGUGCGUCUGAUUAGGUAGUUGGUGAGGUAACGGCUCACCAAGCCGACGAUCAGUAACUGGCGUGAGAGCGCGACCAGUCACACGGGCACUGAGACACGGGCCCGACUCCUACGGGAGGCAGCAGUAAGGAAUAUUGGUCAAUGGACGCAAGUCUGAACCAGCCAUGCCGCGUGGAGGAUGAAGGCCCUCUGGGUUGUAAACUUCUUUUAUCUGGGACGAAACACUUCUUAUCUAAGGAGCUUGACGGUACCAGAUGAAUAAGCACCGGCUAACUCCGUGCCAGCAGCCGCGGUAAUACGGAGGGUGCAAGCGUUAUCCGGAUUCACUGGGUUUAAAGGGUGCGUAGGCGGACUUGUAAGUCCGUGGUGAAAUCUCCGAGCUUAACUCGGAAACUGCCAUGGAUACUAUAAGUCUUGAAUGUUGUGGAGGUUAGCGGAAUAGUUCAUGUAGCGGUGAAA